GCCGCCGUAGCUCAGCCCGGCUAGAGCGCCGGACUCAUACGGGUGGUACGUCACCGAGGUUGGUGGCCCAGGGGAGAUCCGGUUGUCCCGGGUUCAAAUCCCGGCGGCGGCA
rnacentral:tRNA from 1 species